UACGAAGGGGGCUAGCGUUGUUCGGAAUCACUGGGCGUAAAGCGCACGUAGGCGGAUUGUUAAGUCGGGGGUGAAAUCCUGAGGCUCAACCUCAGAACUGCCUCCGAUACUGGCAAUCGUCGAGUUCGGAAGAGGUUGGUGGAACAGCUAGUGUAAGAGGUGAAAUUCGUAGAUAUUAGCUAGAACACCAGUGGCGAAGGCGGCCAACUGGUCCGACACUGACGCUGAGGUGCGGAAAGCGUGGGGAGCAAACAGG
rnacentral:rRNA from 1 species